CUUAGCUUAAUCUUUGUUACGUUAGGCUUAGGGUCUAUAUAACCUCUACAGAUAUUUUAUCUCCCACGCAUGCAGGAAUCACUGGUGGCUCACAUGCUAGCAUUCAGUAAUACAGUUAUUCUCGGCCUUAAAGGUUUGGUUUAUGUAUUUUAU